GACGAACGCUGGCGGCGUGCCUAAUACAUGCAAGUAGAACGCUGAAGGAGGAGCUUGCUCUUCUGGAUGAGUUGCGAACGGGUGAGUAACGCGUAGGUAACCUGCCUGGUAGCGGGGGAUAACUAUUGGAAACGAUAGCUAAUACCGCAUAAGAGUAGAUGUUGCAUGACAUUUACUUAAAAGGUGCAAUUGCAUCACUACCAGAUGGACCUGCGUUGUAUUAGCUAGUUGGUGGGGUAACGGCUUACCAAGGCGACGAUACAUAGCCGACCUGAGAGGGUGAUCGGCCACACUGGGACUGAGACACGGCCCAGACUCCUACGGGAGGCAGCAGUAGGGAAUCUUCGGCAAUGGACGGAAGUCUGACCGAGCAACGCCGCGUGAGUGAAGAAGGGUCUCGGAUCGUAAAGCUCUGUUGUAAGAGAAGAACGAGUGUGAGAGUGGAAAGUUCACACUGUGACGGUAUCUUACCAGAAAGGGACGGCUAACUACGUG
rnacentral:rRNA from 1 species